UUUUUAAUUUAAAUUCCUCUGGCUUCAAAUAUUUUUAAAUUGCUGUGGUAUUUUGACUAUACAAAGGUAUUGAAAUAAGAUUUUAAUUGAAUGCUAAGAGAAUGGAAGUCCAGAAAAAAACUUUUUUUAAAUUAAAAAUUGAAGUUUUUUUAAUUUGUGCAGAAACAAUUAUUUAUAUUAAAGACAAGAAGACCCUAUGAAUUUAUUAAAUUUUUAUUUAAUAUGUAAUUACUAUUAGAAAAAUUUUGGCUGGGGCGGCUAGAAAAUAUUAUGAACUUUUUAAAAAUAAAAUGAUCCAUUAUUAAUGAUUUUAUGUUAAAUACUCUAGGGAUAACAGCGUUAUAUUUUUUGAUAGAUCAUAUUGACAAAAAAGUUUGCGACCUCGAUGUUGGAUUAGGAUACUUUUUUAAUGAAGAUAUAAAAAAAGAAGUUGUCACGAUC
rnacentral:rRNA from 1 species